UCAUCGGACGGGACCUCUCUAUUCGCAGCUGCACCUGCCAGCUAUGACACGCACUUUAAAAGAGGAGGAAAAUGUCGCCUGUGAAGUGCGCGUAUUUCGCCCUGGGACCCGGAGCAGAGAGAGGAGCGCCUUUUCAGCGCUCCACUGGAACUUCAUGUAUGCUGCAUAUGCCUAUGGGCUUCAAAUUAACAAGCAGGAUUGGUAUGACGCACAACAAAGAACAAAGAGAAGAGCAAAGCAGAGGCUGUGAUGUGACUGUGAUGUGACUCACAUUCAAAACAGAUGCAAUAUAUCCAUGGACCUCAAACCAGCACAGAGGCAGCGUGGACAGACGGAUGGAGCGGCAGGGAGGAUGACAUCACUGUCACCCGUGGGAGCCGGGGCCUGCCAUUCAUGCCAGCGGUGUGUAUGUGUGUGUGUGUGUGUGUGUGUGUGUGUGUGUGUGCAUCUGUGGGAGCCUCUGUCUCUGUGUGUCACUUCCUGGGAGAGAAUAGAACAGGAAGCCGGAGUGAGAGCCGACAACAAGCACUCGCCUCACCUCCACAAGGAAGCCUUUCUCCCCAGAGAGCAAAAAGGAGGGACGUGUGUGUGUGUGUGUGUGUGUGUGUGUGUGUGUGUGUGUGUCCAUUCAUGCUGCAGGGUGCUGGUGUUGGUUCAGGGUUUGCGUAAGCCUCUACUGUUUCCUUUUUCUUUUACCUCAAGUCUGACUCCUAAAACUUUUGAACAAAUUGUGAUCAUUGUCUCUGUUGGACAGUGGUGUGCACGGACUUUUUAGGGGCAGGGGCACCUUGGCAAAGGGGUACCUGUGACAACCAGGGCCAUUUAACCCUGUGAGCCCCAAUCUGUUUCAGAGCUUUUUUUUCUCUUUUUACAUUUUACUCACUGUGUCCUUGUAUUUCACUGCAAUGUAUUAAUCCUGCAGCUCUAUUGAAUCAGCACAAUCAUGACUAGAAGUAUGAACAACUCUGAAAUGUCUUUCAUGCAGAAUAACACAGUUAUGAAGACAUAAAUCUUUUUCUUUUUUUUU